AUAACUCCUAGAGGCAUUACUGGUAUGGCUGCUGUACACGUAUGUGUGUCAGUAGGUGGCAGAGAAGGGAGAAGUUAUAUCUACACUCAGUGUUCUGAUGUAAGAACAUCUGAAUGAUGAGUAGCUUAACAUU